rnacentral:rRNA from 1 species
CUAUGGGUGGCACCAGUGGGGAAUAUUGCACAAUGGAGGAAACUCUGAUGCAGCAACGCCGCGUGGAGGAUGACACUUUUCGGAGCGUAAACUCCUUUUAUAUAGGAAGAAGAUGACGGUACUAUAUGAAUAAGCGCCGGCUAACUCCGUGCCAGCAGCCGCGGUAAUACGGAGGGCGCAAGCGUUACUCGGAAUCACUGGGCGUAAAGAGCGUGUAGGCGGAUUAAAAAGUCAGAAGUGAAAUCCUAUAGCUUAACUAUAGAACUGCUUCUGAAACUCUUAAUCUAGAAAAUGGGAGAGGUAGAUGGAAUUUCUGGUGUAGGGGUAAAAUCCGUAGAGAUCAGAAGGAAUACCGAUUGCGAAGGCGAUCUCCUGGAACAUUACUGACGCUAAGGCGUGAAAGCGUGGGGAGCAAACAGGACUAGAUACCCCAGUAGUC